UUUCGCCCGCCGCGCCCCGCGCCCGUCCCGCCGCCCCCGCCCGUGGCGGACGGGUGAGUAACACGUGACCAACCUGCCCCCUUCACCGGGAUAGCCCCGCGAAAGCGGGAUUAACACCGGAUACUCCCGCGGGACCGCAUGGCCCCGCGGGGAAAACGAUUCAGCGGAAGGGGAUGGGGUCGCGUCCCAUUAGGUAGUAGGCGGGGCAACGGCCCACCUAGCCCGCGAUGGGUAGCCGGGUUGAGAGACCGAUCGGCCACAUUGGGACUGAGAUACGGCCCAGACUCCUACGGGAGGCAGCAGUGGGGAAUUUUGCGCAAUGGGGGCAACCCUGACGCAGCAACGCCGCGUGCGGGACGGAGGCCUUCGGGUCGUAAACCGCUUUCAGCAGGGAAGAACUUUGACUGUACCUGCAGAAAAAGCUCCGGCUAACUACGUGCCAGCAGCCGCGGUAAUACGA
rnacentral:rRNA from 1 species